UACAGAGGUCUCAAGCGUUGUUCGGAUUCAUUGGGCGUAAAGGGUGCGUAGGUGGCGCUGUAAGUCGGGUGUGAAAUUUCGGAGCUUAACUCCGAAACUGCAUUCGAUACUGCGGUGCUUGAGGACUGGAGAGGAGACUGGAGUUCAUGGUGUAGCAGUGAAAUGCGCAGAUAUCGGGAGGAACACCCGUAGCGAAGGCGGCACUCUGGGCCGGAACUGACGCUGAGGAGCGAAAGCGUGGGGAGCAAACAGG
rnacentral:rRNA from 1 species